GAGACACCCCUAUGGAGCAGGACUUGCUUCAGUAGGGCUAUGGUGCUCUCCGAGUCUGCCCCUUGAGUGUGUUGCU
rnacentral:pre_miRNA from 1 species